CCUUGAAACACCGGUCCCCGUACGAUCAAAUAAGUUAAGCCACGUCAUGCCUGAUCAGUAUCUAGAUGGGUGACCGCUUGUGAAUACCAGGUGU